rnacentral:lncRNA from 1 species
GAAAAAGAAAAGAGAACCCUCGCCUUAGGGUUUCACGAGAGAAAAUGAAGGAGGAAGAAAAGCUUACCUCUUACCACUGACCGGACCCUGACCGGAAUUAACCGCUGGAGAUGAUCCGAUGGUCAGAAAGGAAGAUAGAAGCAGAUGAAGUGUCGACCGUUGGAUCAUGAAGCAUGAAACGUCGAAGAGGCCUUCUUCCC